CCAUGUCUCAUCAUUCAGAUUCUCAUGGCACGGGCUGCUUUUGUUCAUGAGCUUCAGAGAAGUGCACAGAAGGACCGCUAAUAAACCGCAUCAGGCCAAGAAGCCAACUGAGUCGCAAAAAGAGUUCCUGCUCAUUCCCCUGGUCGUCAUUGUAACUGAAGCUGGAAUAUCCACAAUCUCACUUGGAAAAUUACAACAAAGCUUGCUUAUUAUUCACGUGCAACCUUCAUCAGAGGGUCACACUCACAAAAUAUGUAAGCGCAAAGAACUUCCUGUAUACUGACCCGCCUCAUCGUGAUUGGCAGACAACUUGUCCAGUAUCUCUCGGUCCACGUUCAGGAUGCGCUGCUCCAGGACGCCGGCGUAAGACGGAGCACUUUCCUUCCUUUCUCGCUCCAACGCCUGCAGCUGCUGCCUCAAGGCUUCGGGCAGAGACACCGCAGAAGUGUACCCGUGACAGCAAAGAUGGAAACUGUUCUGAAGAAAAUGGACCUUUUCACGUGCCUGUCAAGCAUCUUUAUCAGAUGAGACCAAUUGACGCAUUCAGGUGCAACACGGAGGCCCGCGCCGCUUACCUCCCCCCCGUGGCCGUCAAAGAUGCCGAAGAUGGACGGGUGGCUCUUGUUGGCGAUGUCGGUCUUUGAAAACUCGGCGUCCAGCACGCUGAGGCCUCCCAGCCGCUCGUUGUGCAUCAUCUCGGCCACUUUGCCCUUCACCAUCUUCACGGCGUCGCGGCUUGACUUGACGAUGG